rnacentral:sRNA from 1 species
AGGUUUAUACGGUCUAGAUAAAAACUCACCAAAUCAUAUAUAUGAAAGUUGGUCAACUCUCUCCAUAAGAUUGCUACAUCAUCACUUUAACAUUUGUCAUAUGUUUAUUAAUUAAUUAAUGUAAGCUUUUCAACUUCUAAUUUAUAUGUUAAUGAUA